UACGGGGGGAGCAAGCGUUGUUCGGAAUUACUGGGCGUAAAGGGCUCGUAGGUGGCCAACUAAGUCAGACGUGAAAUCCCUCAGCUUAACUGGGGAACUGCGUCUGAUACUGGAUGGCUUGAGUUUGGGAGAGGGAUGCGGAAUUCCAGGUGUAGCGGUGAAAUGCGUAGAUAUCUGGAGGAACACCGGUGGCGAAGGCGGUUCUCUGGGCCUUACCUGACGCUGAGGAGCGAAAGCGUGGGGAGCGAACAGG
rnacentral:rRNA from 1 species